AAGUCGUAACAAGGUUUCCGUAGGUGAACCUGCGGAAGGAUCAUUAUGAGAACGAGACCGUCAGGUCGAGUUAUAUGUGCUACUGGGUGCCCGUCAGGGUGCCCUUUGGGGUAUUCGCAAGAGUACUCUUUGUGUGGUCAGAUGGGUUGGAGUAACACCCUUCCCGCCUACCACUCGAUACCAUACACACCCAUACCCACACCACUUACACCUAGUUGAAAAACUUGCAAAACUUUUAGCAAUGGAUCUCUAGGCUCCU
rnacentral:misc_RNA from 1 species